rnacentral:misc_RNA from 1 species
GAUGAAGAACGCAGCGAAAUGCGAUAAGUAAUGUGAAUUGCAGAAUUCCGUGAAUCAUCGAAUCUUUGAACGCACAUUGCGCCCUUUGGUAUUCCAAAGGGCAUGCCUGUUCGAGCGUCAUUUGUACCCUCAAGCUUUGCUUGGUGUUGGGCGUCUUGUCUCUAGCUUUGCUGGAGACUCGCCUUAAAGUAAUUGGCAGCCGGCCUACUGGUUUCGGAGCGCAGCACAAGUCGCACUCUCUAUCAGCAAAGGUCUAGCAUCCACUAAGCCUUUUUUUCAACUUUUGACCUCGGAUCAGGUAGGGAUACCCGCUGAACUUAAGCAUAUCAAUAAGCGGAGGA